CCAACGCCCGGGCUGAAACCCCGGCCCAAGGGGCCACGCCGAAACCUAAGCCCAUUCGGGGUGAUGACUUGGGCGUUUGUACCCAACCCACGCCCCAUACCUCAUAGUCUCAACUUGUGUUAGCUAUUGACCAGUCCACUUGUAUUUGCGUCUCUAUACGACUAAAUUCAGGUACUAGUUGUAUCCACAUUUCACAAGUUAUUUUAUGUGGAUAACUGAUUGACUUCAUGUUAUAUAACCCUUUUUUUUACUUUUUAUUCAAAUAUGUUUACAUUUUAGUAUAUUUACAUGAACUGAUCUGAUUGCCAAAUUACGAAUAGAUUGAUUUACGGAAUUCAAAAUUUUCAAUCGGAUGGUGGAGACGAUCACGAUGGUACACGGGAGAUCUGUUGGUGGCAAGGUAAAGAGGCGGCGCAGAUUGAAGAGUUGUAGCAAAAGAAAAUGCAGACAAAGCAGAGAAAUAGUGUGCAUCUUUUGGAGUGAGUGCAGACGAGCCAAGCCAAGCCAAGCCUGAGCUUGAUUAGGCUUGAGCUCGGCUGUUGGAUAGCUUUUCAAGCUUCAGCGUGGCUCGGACAUGGCAAUAU